rnacentral:rRNA from 1 species
GGAGUUUGGGCCGUGUCUCAGUCCCAAUGUGGCCGGUCACUCUCUCAAGUCGGCUACUGAUCGUCGCUUUGGUGGGCCGUUACCCCGCCAACUGGCUAAUCAGACGCGUAUCCAUCUUAUACCGCCGGAGCUUUUCGCACUGUACCAUGCGGUACUGUGCGCUUAUGCGGUAUUAACAGCAGUUUCCCGCUGUUAUCCCCCUGUAUAAGGCAGGUUAUCCACGCGUUACUCACCCGUCCGCCACUCGCGCCCGAAGGCGCUCGUUCGACUUGCAUGUGUUAGGCACGCCGCCAGCGUUCAUC